rnacentral:rRNA from 1 species
CAGUCGCCGCGGUAAUACGGAGGGUGCAAGCGUUAAUCGGAAUUACUGGGCGUAAAGCGCACGCAGGCGGUUUGUUUAGUCAGAUGUGAAAUCCCCGAGCUUAACUUGGGAACUGCAUUUGAAACUGGCAAGCUAGAGUCUUGUAGAGGGGGGUAGAAUUCCAGGUGUAGCGGUGAAAUGCGUAGAGAUCUGGAGGAAUACCGGUGGCGAAGGCGGCCCCCUGGACAAAGACUGACGCUCAGGUGCGAAAGCGUGGGGAGCAAACAGGAUUAGAUACCCCUGUAGUCCCUGUCUCUUAUAC